AUUGCUAGGUUGCAAUUUAGACAACUUAAGUUUGUGUAGGCUUAAACAGCCUCAUAAAUAAAUACUUGUAAAAAUAUGUUAAAUGUGUUAAGAAUUUUGUUUCAGGUACUAUGGAAACUUAAAAGAGUGAAUGGCUAAGCUAGAGUACUAAUUCAAAAGGGCUGGUAGUCUAAAUUGAUGUUGUCUCAGGAAUUUUCUAGAUGGAUGGGAGGUUGGAAAUAAAAAGGAUCAGGUGUUAGAGGAACUGUUCAGUAGCUUUGAUUACCUGAUGUAAGAGUUUUGUGGGGUAAUGAUGGGGAAAUGAGGUGUUUAGUUAUAAUUAUAUCAUGCUAAAGAGUUGAACUUUAUCCUGUAGAUGACAGUUUUAAUUGAAGAAUCAAAGUAAUCAGGUUGACUUUUUAAAAAUUGGAACAUAGUUGAUGUACAAUGUUAUAUGUCA
rnacentral:lncRNA from 1 species